GCUCCGGUAGUCUAAGGGAUAGGCAUCUGUCUUCUAAACAGAUUGAUGUGUGUUCGAAUCACACUCGGAGCG
rnacentral:tRNA from 1 species